rnacentral:misc_RNA from 1 species
AAAUGUCUGAACGCGGAAACCGUGUGCUGACAAAAGGCGAUCGAGACUCUGCAGUAUGCUCGAAUCGUCAUCAACGAUAGCUAUAGUGCGUAUGCUGUUGCUCAUCAAUCUGAACCGGCCCGAAGGCGGUCUUUCUUAUCGCGGUAUUGCGUCUCGUCAUUAGCUUAUUCGCUUCCAGGCGACUAAAUAGCAUGAAUGAGCAUGAUGAUCGAAGAUAA